rnacentral:rRNA from 1 species
UUUAGAUAUAAAUUUAUAAACUUGAGUAGUAUUAGUUAUGAUCUUGAAACUUAAAGAAUUUGGCGGUAUUUUAGUCUAUUUAGAGGAAUCUGUCCCUUUAUCGAUAUUCCCCGUUGGACCUUACUUAAUUUAUAUAAUAUGUAUACCGCCGUUUAGUUGAAAAUUUCAAUAGAAUAUUUUCUUAAUAUUUUACUUAAUAAUAUUUCAGGUCAAGGUGCAGUUAAUAAUUAAGUGGAGAUGGAUUACAAUAUAUUUAUAUACGAAUUAUUAAUUGAAAUAUUCAUAUGAAGGUGGAUUUAAUAGUAAUUUUAAUUAGAUUAUUAAAGUGAUUUUAGCUCUAAGAUGUGU